GCGGAUAUGGCGGAAUUGGCAGACGCGCAUGAUUCAGGUUCAUGUGAGCACUACGCUCAUGCAAGUUCAAGUCUUGUUAUCCGCA
rnacentral:tRNA from 1 species